UACCAGCACCCCGAGUGGUCGGGACGAUUAUUGGGCCUAAAGCAUCCGUAGCCGGUUUUACAAGUCCUCCGUUAAAUCCAACUGCUUAACAGAUGGGCCGCGGAGGAUACUACAAGACCAGGAGGCAGGAGAGGCAAGCGGUACUCAGUGGGUAGGGGUAAAAUCCGUUGAUCCAUUGAAGACCACCAGUGGCGAAGGCGGCUUGCCAGAAUGCGCUCGACGGUGAGGGAUGAAAGCUGGGGGAGCAAACCGG
rnacentral:rRNA from 1 species